rnacentral:rRNA from 1 species
AACAAACGCUGGCGGCGUGCCUAACACAUGCAAGUCGAACGAGAAAUUUCCUGCUUGCAGGAGAAAGUAAAGUGGCGCACGGGUGAGUAACGCGUGGGUAACCUACCUUUGAAUCUGGAAUAACCAGCCGAAAGGCUGACUAAUACCGGAUACGGUUUUUUAGGCUUCGGUCUUUUAAAUUAAAGGUGACCUCUUCAUGAAAGUUGCCGUUCAUAGAUGGGCCCGCGUACCAUUAGCUUGUUGGUGGGGUAAUGGCCUACCAAGGCGACGAUGGUUAGCUGGUCUGAGAGGAUGAUCAGCCACACUGGAACUGGAACACGGUCCAGACUCCUACGGGAGGCAGCAGUGAGGAAUUUUGCGCAAUGGGGGAAACCCUGACGCAGCAACGCCGCGCGAGCGAAGAAGGCCUUCGGGUCGUAAAGCUCUGUCAAGUGGGAAAAAAAUCUUUUGAUCAAUAGUCAAAAGACUUGAUGGUACCACUGGAGGAAGCACCGGCUAACUCCGU